rnacentral:rRNA from 1 species
CGGAGGGUCCGAGCGUUAUCCGGAAUCAUUGGGUUUAAAGGGUCCGCAGGCGGUCGAUUAAGUCAGAGGUGAAAUCCCAUAGCUCAACUAUGGAACUGCCUUUGAUACUGGUUGACUUGAGUCAUAUGGAAGUAGAUAGAAUGUGUAGUGUAGCGGUGAAAUGCAUAGAUAUUACACAGAAUACCGAUUGCGAAGGCAGUCUACUACGUAUGUACUGACGCUGAGGGACGAAAGCGUGGGGAGCGAACAGGAUUAGAUACCCUGGUAGUCCACGCCGUAAACGAUGGAUACUAGUUGUUGGGAUUUAUCUCAGUGACUAAGCGAAAGUGAUAAGUAUCCCACCUGGGGAGUACGGUCGCRAGACUGAAACUCAAA